rnacentral:lncRNA from 1 species
CAAAAAAAAAAAAAAAAAGUGUAGUGACUUGAACAAGUUUAGUUACCAACAUUCUUCAAAAUAUCUUUGUUUCACAAAAGAAAAAUGCCAUUCAGGUUUGAAUCGACAUGAAUAAUUAAUGAGAGAAUUUUCAUUUUGGGGUGAAUUAUCCCUUUAAUGUGUGUUUUAUUCAAAUGGAAAUGUUAAAUUAUGAAGAAACUAAAACUGCCAGUAUGUGGCGGUAAAUGUCUUAAUUAGUAAACUUUGGGCUGCGUCUGAAAUCGCAUACUUCCCUUACAGUAGGCAAAAAACAGUAUGUGACAAAAUAAUUAUAUCCAAAUUCACAGUACUCAUAAAAGAGUAGGCAAAAGUACUCCGAUGACCUAAUACUUCCGGCCUGAUUCUGAAUGUACAGCACGUUGAUUCAUUUUUAUGGUUUUGAAAGUGCUUUAUAAAUAAAGAUUGAGUUGAGUUGAGUUAAAAAUGCGAAACGGCUCGCCACCAGCACAAACAAUCUCUGUAAUGACCUCUUACUCAAUCAGCUUUGAUACUGUAAUGUUUUUGCUGUAAACACAUGAUGCAAACACAGUUCUCUUUCAAAGGGAAGACCUCAGUGUCUGGGUUUGUAACCUGGUGUCAUGAUUGUAAGCUUCUCUAAUCACAGGGGAUGAUUCAGUCAGACAGUAACACAAUUAGCUAUAAUCUGUUUUCUUGAGGUCUGACUGAACUCAACCACACUCGCACCUUUAGCACACAGAGUCUAGUUUUAGAAGAAGACUGAACGUUCAGCUUCACAAACAGCUUGAAAUGGAGGCAAAGUGGAUGAUUAUGUUGUUACUCAACAUGCUGGAGUUUCUGUGCUGCUGUAAAUGAGUUCUACUCUUCAACAGGUUAGUGUGUGUUGUAUUGCAAUAAGAUGAUAAAACAAGAACACAUCCCUCUUUAACCAUAUUGUUUUUGUAGAAGUGCUAAAAUACCUGUUUUGAAAUUAAAUGCUGUCUUCAGAUCAUAUGACGCAGCUUAUUGACAUCAAAACACAGUUUGCCAAGAGUCUUCAUGAAUAUAUAGAAGCUCUGGAGAGCCGAGCAGAUCUUCUGAGAGGGACUCUGAAUGCACUUGAGGAUGACUUUGAUGGCACUCCCAGAGAUCCAGAGAAAUACAUCAGCAACCCUCUCGCAGCGUUUCAGCUCGUGAGGAAGCUAAGUCAAGCCUGGGCCGCUACACAGGAGCUUAUCGAAGGAAGACGUGCAAAAGGUUUGAGGAGAAACACACAGCUCAGAAACUGGGCUUUCUCAUAACAGUUGGUUGUGUUAUAAAUGAUUGUACCACUCAGACCAUGACAUGUCAUGCGAAGACUUCUUGUGCUGUUGUUAAGGGGCUUCAUCAGUUUUUAACGGUAGAUCGUCUGUGAUGGAACCACUUGGAGGAGAAAAAGCUAUAAAUUAUACAUGAAUAAAAAAAAUGUAACACGUUUCUCAUGUUUCACAGACACUUUGGAAAGCCUGAAAGCUGCAGCUCAGACUCUCCCCAGUGCAGAAGAUGUAGAAGGAGUGGUGACGGCUUUGGUUAGACUCCAAGAAAUGUACAGAUUAGAUCCGAGGAACAUCUCUUUAUUUUCUGGUGGGUUUCAUGGUGGCUUUAUUUGUUCUUUAUCACCAGUAUAACUCAUGUUUGUGCCAGAUUGAUAAAAAUCCAGGAGACUUACACAGGACUGAGUCAUAUCUACAGGCCAGAAUGUUGAUGUAGGCACUUGUAUCUUGGUGAAAAAUCUGGUUCAGUUUAUUUCAGUGAUAUCAAC